UAAUAACUUAAAAUAGAUUGUUUUGAAUAUCAAGACAUUUUUUUUUUGGAAAAUGAUACUUUGACACCUUCUGGGUGACAAAUUUUUGACACCAAUGACGUGUCAGCUUCUCAUUGGUUCACCUUUUUGAAAAAAAAAAAAAUUUAAAUGACGUGGAUUAGUUGAGGGCACGCGCAAAAAAUGAAAGCAAACAAUUUCCCAAAUUCAAAUUCAUUUUCAGAUUGCGAGAAUGAAACCUAGAGAGAGAAACUCUCCCUCCCAACGACCAAAGCCCCUUCACGACUCCACCGUUGUUCGCCGUUGAACGGCCAUCGGAGGUCCACCCAGAGGCAGCACCGUCGAUCAUCUUCGUGUCUCUUCCCACCGAUCACCUUCACGUCUCUUCCCACCGGUCAUAUUCACGUCUCUUCCAGCGUCAGUCGUGCCGUUUCCACCGUCGCCGUCACCAUCUCUUUAGUUACAUGUAAUGGCCAUAUAUGGACUUUAAGUUCAAAUCUAGUUUUCUCGAUUUCCCUUUAUCCACGUCGUCCCUGAUUUUAUUUUUAUUUUACAGGGUUUCUUUCAAUCUUGCAUUUUUUUACACUUUCUUACAUAUCUCCAGCUGAUUAUUAUUACAUUAUAUGCAGGUCUUAUUCUCUGGAACCAAAUGAGGCGACACUUGGGUUAGAAAUAAAAGGCCCCAGAAUAAAAGGCCCCAAAUGUGUAUAUUACGUAUGAUGUUGAUGUACAAACAUUUAUUUUUUGNAAUUAAUUACAAGUUAAUUGGAUUGUAUGAAAGUGAUUUAAUUACAUUCAUUUCUAGUUUAUGUUUAUUCCUCUAUUUGUAUUCCAAGCCUGUUUUGUAAAACUGAUUCUGUAGUAACAGAUCUGGAAGCAAAGUGCAAAUAAGUGGGUAGUUCAGGCAAACUUUCAGCACAGGGGUGUCAACUUUGAAACUGGCCUUGUUAUUUAAUUGAACAAANUUUUCUUAACACCUAUUGGAAUUAUUGGAUACAGAAGUACAUGGUCAUUGAUGAUCACGAGUAUAUAGAUGGAUGUACAUGGCGAAGAGAGAAUUAUUGUUAACACUCAAUGUGUAGUAAUAGACCUGGGAGCAAUGGGCAAAUAAGUGGGUAGUUUAAGCUAACUUUUAGCACGAGGAGGGCAUCUUUGAAUAUGCCACUUCUUUUUAACUCCACAGUUUAUUGUUAACCAAUUAUAUUGAAUAAAAAUCAUUAAUUAUCAUUUAAGAACAAAUUUAUAUCCAAGUCCAUCCCCAAGGAAACACUUUUCUUUAAAGUAAUGGUGCAAAAAGGAAAGUGGUAGCCAUGGGCAAAUAAAUGGGUAGUUUAGACUAACUUUUAGCACGAGGAGGGCAUCUUUGAACCUUCCACUUGUUUUGAACUCCACAGUUUAUUGUUAGCCAAUUAUUUUGAAUAAAAUUCAAUAGUUAUCAUUUAAGAACACAUUUAUAUCCAAGUUCAUCCCCAAGGAAACGUUUUACUUUAAACUGAUGGUGCAGAAAUGAAAGUGGUAGCAAUGUUCAAAUAAGUGGGUAGUUUAGGCUACCUUUUAGCAAGAGGAAGGUUUCUUUGAACCUGCCACUUCUUUUAAACUCCACAGUUUAUUGUUAACCAAUUAUAUUGAAUAAAAUUCAUUAAUUAUCAUUCAAGAACACAUUUAUAUCCAAGUCCAUC
rnacentral:lncRNA from 1 species